CCUACGGGAGGCUGCAGUGGGGAAUAUUGCACAAUGGGGGAACCCCUGAUGCAGCGACGCCGCGUGAGUGAAGAAGUAAUUCGUUAUGUAAAGCUCUAUCAGCAGGGAAGAAAAUGACGGUACCUGAGUAAGAAGCCCCGGCUAACUACGUGCCAGCAGCCGCGGUAAUACGUAGGGGGCAAGCGUUAUACGGAUUUACUGGGUGGAAAGGGAGCGUAGACGGCAGUGCAAGUCUGGAGUGAAAGGCGGGGGCUCAACCCCCGGACUGCUCUGGAAACUGUACGGCUGGAGUGCAGGAGAGGUAAGUGGAAUUCGUGGUGUAGCGGUGAAAUGCGUAGAUAUUAGGAGGAACACCAGUGGCGAAGGCGGCUUACUGGACUGUAACUGACGUUGAGGCUCGAAAGCGUGGGGAGCAAACAGGAUUAGAUACCCUUGUAGUC
rnacentral:rRNA from 1 species